rnacentral:rRNA from 1 species
AAGGCCUUGCGCUUUUGGAGUGGCCGAUGCCUGAUUAGCUAGUUGGUGGGGUAAGGGCCUACCAAGGCGACGAUCAGUAGUUGGUCUGAGAGGACGACCAGCCACACUGGGACUGAGACACGGCCCAGACUCCUACGGGAGGCAGCAGUGGGGAAUUUUGGACAAUGGGCGCAAGCCUGAUCCAGCAAUGCCGCGUGAGUGAAGAAGGCCUUCGGGUUGUAAAGCUCUUUCAGUUGAGAAGAAAAGGUUGUGGUAAAUAAUCACAAUUGAUGACGGUAUCGACAGAAGAAGCACCGGCUAACUACGUGCCAGCAGCCGCGGUAAUACGUAGGGUGCAAGCGUUAAUCGGAAUUACUGGGCGUAAAGGGUGCGCAGGCGGCUUUGUAAGUCAGAUGUGAAAUCCCCGGGCUUAACCUGGGAAUU